rnacentral:lncRNA from 7 species
UCCCUGUUGAGCCUAAUUGGUCUCCAGGACAGUAAUAAAACUGCUCUUGAGUAUUCAGUCAUCACUAUACUCUGAUAAUGAUGAUUCUUUCACUGCACGGAAGGUUGCUCUGUACAGCUGCUCAUUGCCUGUGCCUUUCACUGAGAGCCAUGAAUUCCUGCAUUAGUGGAACAUCAGAAGAGACAAACUACCACUGUCAAGGCUAGCUUCUUCAAACAGGGAAUCAGAGGAAAUAAAGGAGACAUUUCACAUACAUGUUUUGACACAACUGGCAGUCUUCUUCAGAAAGGAGCACUAUAAUAUAGAGGCUUCUACUUUACAUGUAAGCAUAUAAUUCUUACAAAAUGGAUGGAAUCUCUAUGAAAGAUCUUUUCUGUGAAAAGAGUGAAUCUGGUCUGUAAAAGCUAAAUAUACUGAUGGUGGUCUAAUCAAGCUUCACUUCUGGAAGUGCUGACUACCUACUGCAGCCAAAAGACCUCAGAUCUGACAGAAGAGCUUGGUCCUGGUGGAAUGACUGCAGCUUCAGCUUUUAAUACAGAAAGAGAGAUGUUUGUUUUAAACUGGAAUGUGAAAGAGCAGAGGGCAUUUUCAGUUUUCAGAGAAGCACCAGUCAGGUCUAUAGGAGCUGCCCACCACCAGGCAGUAUUGAAAGAAUUUCAUCUUAACAAUGAACAGGAAAAAAUUGCAUUGGAAGAAAAACAAGGAUGUUUUUUGAAAUAGCUGGUAAAACACAAGGAAAUAGACAGUAGUUAAGUCGUUUGUUCAUACCAUGUAGGAGAUGUUUUCAGAGACGUAAUCUUUAGAAGGAGAGUUUAUCUGUGAUCCUAGUCAGAGAAGAUGAAGCUGGACUUUCCUGUUCAGAGUACUCCUAGACAUCACCAGAAGUGUCAGGUAGAUGGUGUUCCCCCUAUCAUAAUUGUAUUUUACUAUUCAUUCUUAUCUCCUCGAGGUUGCAAGUCUUCUGGAGUAUUUACUGUCUUGACAGAAUAUACUAACUGCAGCACAUACAGUUGUAGAGAGACUUCUGCUUUGCAGUAAACUGUCUUUUACAGUGAGAGUUUUCAACAACUAGGUGUCGAAGCUAAACUAUCAGCAGUAUUGUCCUUGUUUUUAAAAAUUUGAGAAAAAUAAAGGAUUGAAGGUGGGAGG